GAGGCCUGGAGGUGCGCUCUGGGGCUGCCUGGGGACCGCCCGUCUCGGAGCCGCGGGUCAGAGAGAUUGCCGGCGCUGGGGGCUACCUAGCAGAUUUCUGAGUGCCACCACUGAGGUGCAGAAGGGAAAACAACUUCCAAGAGCCUGAUGGUAUGCUAACCCACACCAAAAUAACUGGCACAAACAAGGUACAACAGUGGAUGCUCACUUAUCCGUUCUUCAGUUGAAGCAUAAGGAUGCCACUGAAGUCCCCACUUUGUCAUCCUGCUGGGCUGCAUUUUGUCAAUGCUGAGGGUUAAUACCUUCAAUCAUUGAAGCAAACAUCAAAAUCCAUAGGAAAUACACAGAAAAUCAUCUAGUUAGGAGAAAUUCACUGCGAGUGGAAUACGUGAUAACACCUGAUAGAUCUGAUACAAAAACCAACAUAAUUUCACAAUCAUACCCCACCCUUGGGCCGUAAGGAAGGUUCUUACAUGAGAUCAAGUCAUGCAAGCAAAUAACCCCCAAGUUUACAUCUGAUUAUAGCACAUAUAUGGGAGAUGUGAACAGGGUUGGCCCAGCUAGACCAUAUGAUGAACACCAAGGAUCAUGGCAUCGUAUAAAACUGGGCAUCUGUAUGGUACAGCUGGCUAUGCAUAAUAUUCUCCUAAUUUAUAAGGCUGAAGCAUCUGCUUCUGCUGCUGCUGCUCCAUCAGCUUUUCCAGAAGUCUGCUACUGAAUGCCUAGUAGUCAAAUAUUGCAGUUGUGUGUGCCAGUGGAACAGGAAGUUGAUAUCAUUUACAGUGGGAGAUUAGGUGCUACUCUAUUCCACAGAUAAGGUAAUGUUCAGCAUGGUGAGGUAGAAAGGGCUGGCCUUGUGGGAUGGGCUCCACUUCACAGGAAGAUCAAUAAUGGCGUACUCUAAAAGAUGUAAUAUUUAUUUCUUGUUGGCAAGAUCCCCAGCUGUGACAGGAGGACGUGGUCACAUGAGGCCACUGCAGCAGGCUGUGUGUGUGACUGUGGACAUCCCCAGUGAUGCAGCAGGCGAGAUCUUAGAGAACAAAUUGUGCAAGUCCUGAUUUUGUUCUUCUGCUUCAUCUUUCCACUUUAUGGAAAUGCUGUGCCUCUAGUAACCAGUAUUUUAUAGAAUUGUAGUAUCAUAGAAUGACUUGGGUUAAAGAGGGCAGUGAUGAUCAUCUAGUUUCAACCCAGGCUUUGGCUCUUUGCUUAGAAGUGUCUGCUCUGCAAGUGGGAAAAAAUCUGGGGGGAGGGGGUUUUCAGCUGGACCCUGCAAACUGCUUGCCAGAAGUACAGGUUAGCUGAAAAUGUCAGCAACUGUAAUCUCAUGAGCCUUAGCCAUGGCCUACAUUAGAAGAUGGAUCCUGCCAGGCACCCUCCACAAUCAGAGGCUCUGAAAGGCUGGCUUGUGAGCCUAGCUCUCUCCAAAUGCUAGAAAGGUGCUUGAGGCAAUGGCUUGUAGUGGAAUUGCAUGGACACUACUCUCCUCCACCUUAUUCAGGCUUCAUUGCAGAAGGCCCUCCAUGGUUUGCAGCAGAGAAGAGGCCAGGAGAGUUCCAGCAUGUGUUCUACAUGGACAGCCCCAUUCUGGGGAUCAAGCCAACAACUUGAAGGCAUCCUGCCUUGUGUGCACAUGUGCUGAACACCCCACAUGUCAGCUCUGAGAGGUGGACCCACACCAGAGACAACCUUGUACCCAUGAGAAGGAAGGGGGGAGAAAGCCAGAAUUCACUUUUCCAAUUAUUUCCAAACUGUCUUGCCUUCAGGAAAGCCCCGCUGUAGUUCAGAGCCUAGGAGAAAGUUAUUCCUCCUUUUUGCCUUCACAGAGAUAUUAACAGCAGUGCAGCAUACGGGGUAAGGCAUCCAAAAUUUUGUUUUUGGAAGCAACAGCAUUACCAGCACUGUCUAGGUGCUGUGGGUGCAGAUCAUGCAGUUGGUACCUUCAUGAACCCUCUGUUCUGCAAACCCAUUGUUGUAGGAAAAGGGCACUAUUGCUGCCUGUAGAGAAAAAAUAUGGCACUAACCAUUUUACCAGAACCUUCCCUAGUAAAAUUACAUUGCAAAGCCAUGCCAAAAAUAAAUUCAAAUUCCAAACAGAAAGAGAAAAUUGACUUUUGCAGAACAUCAUGCGGUUGUUAAUAAUAAAUCAAGUUGCUUUCAGAAUGGAAGCAAUUCCUGCAACUCUUGCACCACUUUCUGUAAGGCUGUGUUGUUGGUAAGGAAGUGAAAUCUUGUUAGCAAAUAUGACAGCACAAGACUUCUUCAGAUUUCUAAUUCUUUUUCCCAUUGUACAAUUCUGUAUAAUUUUAUCAAGUUAAAAAAGAAAAAUAAUUUGGUUUCCAACUUCUGUGAGUCCAUAGGAGUUGGGAGUUGGACUAGAUGACUUUUAAAGGUUCUUUCCAACUCUGAGGAUUCUAUGAUUCUAUAGCAUGGCACCUACUACAUUUCUAGCCAGGUCCAAACUCUUCAGGCAUCUUCUUCUUUAUAAAUUCUGUUGAAGAUUUAGAGUCCUAAACAUUUUUAUGCUCUGACAUGGGUACAGUAUCUAGAGACUGUUCCCUGACCAGGAUUAGUAGAUGUGACCAUAAUAAAAGUUUAUCUCAGUUUAACAAGGGUAAAAUGAGCUGCACUAAGGCAAGAAGUGAAUUUGAGAAAGAACUUGAAUUACUGCAAAUAUCUUCAGGUUGUGAUAAGCCACAAGUGGAUGAAGUCACCAGUGCUGCAAUACACAACGUGCUGUUUCCUAACACUUUGCCUGAGCAGUUUUAUGGAGGUUCUGCCCAGUGCAAGGGGUAGAGCAGGGCAGCACUGUGCAGGUUGCAUGCAGUUCUUGCAACUUAUCAGCAGUUGCUGAGAUCUGGAAUUUGUCAUGGGGCUUGGUAUUGUUUCGAGGUUUAAGUAGUCUCAUUUCCCAAAUAAAUGUAACUGAAUUAAGAAACUGUGCAAUAGGGGCACAGUAAAACCAGUGGAAGAAGAGGGAGAGGAGUAAAUAGGGAAGCACUGAGCAGGAAACCUGAUUUUAUGGACUGUGUGGACAUGAUUAGAUUCUUGCCAGAGAAGUCAUUCAAAUACAUCGUGUUAGAAUCAGAUGGCAGAAAUAUUUAAUAUGUGAUGUCUUUUUUCAUUUUGGUAAGGGCACAAGUGACCGGCAUUCACUUACUUAAACACGGCCUCUUCCCCAAUUCCUGCUGCUGGCAUCCUGCUGCUGCUUUCAGCAGUGCUGCUUGUAGGUGAGGUGCUGAUGACAAAAAAAUUCACCCCAGUAUCUGUAAAUUAUGGGAAAAGUGGAGAGCAACUAUGUAGCAGGGAACUCCAUUUACCCAAGCGUAAAACUUUGCUUUCUUAAGCCUGGCCCUCUCUCACUGCCUCAUAUAAUUCCCAAUAGUAGAAUGAUGUUAAGUGCAAAGAUUAUUAUUAGUUACAGACCUAGUAGAACUGGCAAAAGCCACUUCCCUUCUCCAUUGGUGGCUUAGUGUGUAUCUACUCAGUCCUUGCCCAGGAAAACUUUUCUCUUGUGAGACAAAGACAAGGAAGAGUUGAAUCGUUGGAAAUCACAGGUGAUGGAUAGAGUUUGUUCAUCAUUAUUGGUUUAAAAUAGAGGUCUCUUCCCAAUAAAUGUCUAUCAUUAACUGAAAGCAAGGAUCUUUUCCGUUUCAGUGUACAUGAUUUCCUGUCUAAUUGUACAAUGGUUUCACUACCAGAAAUGUUACACUGAGGACACUAUGAAGGCAUAGCACUGGGCACACAUUUUAAAGGACUUCUAUUUCACUUUCUUCUACAACCUUUGUUAUAGAAGGAACAAAGUGUUUGAAACUUCUAAUUCAUAAAUCAUAUUUUAACUCCAAGUUUUAAAAUAGAAAACCGUAGAAACAAUCUUAAAGAUAUUUUCACAAGUGGUUUUCACAUUUUUUUUAUUACAAUAUAAAUGCAGAUACAUAUUGUCUUAAAUUGUGCUAUAGGGCAUACAAAGAAUCCUUGGGAUUUGUGUAACAUUAAAUGAUUAAUAAAAUUAAUUAUUUAAUGCAGCAAAGUUUAAUUUAAAAAAGCAUCCACAUAUGUAGUCCAGCCAUAUUCUAGACCCCAGAUGUCAGUUUACAGCUGGGCCUGUAACAGGAGGCAGCCUCCACUGUUAUUGCAGUAACUGGGAAGAGAAAGAACUGCUGCUGCAGUGCAUGUUUAAGCAGCAUGCUAUGAACUUCAACUGAAGAUGCCUUCUGCCUACACCCCUCUUGUACCUCUGUAAGCUGUUCUGCCUUGUACAGUACAGGGAAAGCUCUUCAUCAGUGUAGGGAAAUCACCUAGAAACAAGCUCCUUAGCCUGAGCUAUUGACUGUAUCUCAAGAAAGACUGAUGUUAUGCAUCACUUGAGGAAGUAGAAGAAGGAAAAUCUGUUACAGUCAUGCUAUAGCCAGGAUGCACCCAGGCUCAAAGUCUGAAGAUUUCCUAGUUUUCUCUCUUAGAAAGGACCUAAACUUAAGCUUGCUGUGGCCAAUGUCACAGAUGUCCUAAUGUGCUUUGCACCUUGGCACCUGCAAGGCAGGAUGAAUAGUAAAUCUCUCUGCUGAGCAAGUGAUACAUUAAUAUAAUACAGUGAUUGAGGUGAGAAAAUAGACUAUUCAGACCAGCUAGUUGAAAUAACUCUUGCAUUCUGGCUCAUAGAAACUCAUGAAAUUUCAUAAACGACUCAUUUUUAAACACAUAAUACCUAAAUAAUGGCCAUUAAGUGAGGAUGGGUACAUCUAGACUAAACACACUGGGUAAAUCCCUAGAGAUGUUGCAGCAGAAUUGCCUGUUAACAAAGCUGGAGACCACUCAUUUUCCUGGUUAAUAAUUGCAUGAUGGCAAUAAAAACUGAGGAAACAAUAUUAUGCAUAACUGGUUGAAGAAAGGGAAGAGGGAGGCAUUUCUGAGCACUCUGACAGCAUGCAAGUAAUUAUCCACACCGUUCUUCUAACCUUUUUGGGCUUAUCAUUCUCGUCUGGAGUGAAACGAGCCAAGAAGAUGCAAGAACUGUGGCAAACGAUGCCCUCUGAGACAGCAGCGUUCCUGCCAUGUGCCACCUUCUCCUUUUGGGGAGCGGGUGGGUGUCAGCUUGCUGCAUCUUCUCUGGCUCUGGCCUGCGGCAGCGGCCACCUGGUCACAGCAGCACAGUGCACUGUCUGUUGCUGUAGGCACUGCUGCGGCCCAGCACCAGCACUGAUGUUCUAGCCACGAUGCAGUAGCUGAUUCCCGGCCUCAGGUCUUCUAUUUUGAUCACUUUGUCUUUUCCUUCAUACACCAGCACGCUGUGUUGCUUCAGACAGAGGGAGGAGAAACAGCUGGUCAUGCAUGUGUGUCUAUGACUAAGCUGGGAAGGAUGAAAAGUUCAGAGCAACACAUGGGUUGGCAUUAAGUCAACAACAUUAACUAGCAUUAGUUAUUUAUGUGUUAGUUUUGGUGUUGUUUUCUUUCUCGAAAAAAAAAACCACCCCAAAUUGCCCUCAUUUCCCAACUGUUUCAACUAGGCUUUAGAUUCUGAAAUACUACACCAAUGGGAAUGAAGAAAGUGGGGAUGAAUUACAACCCAGUUCAACCAAAUUAAAUUCCUGAAAAAUAAGCUUACUUCGUGUUUAGAUACACAGCCAUUUACACUCUUCCAAUCCCAGAGGGCUGUAAAAGGGAAGAGUGUGCCUAUAUUCUCUUGGCUUUUCAAUGGUAAAGAGUUUAUAUCUGAAUAUGUACUUACCCCAUCUAGCAAGUUGUUAAUUAUGAAGACUUGGUACAGAAGAUCAUAAUAAUUUGUCAUUGGUAUCAUGCUGCCUCUCUUCCUUUUAUAAGCCGAACGUGGAGCCUGGAGCUUUAGUAUUACAAAUUUGUUGCUGUGAACCACCUUUAUUGUUGGAGGUCCUAUCAUAGCUAAGGGUAUAAACAAAGCUGUGAGUAUGAUUGUAGCAUGUUUAUUAAUAAUGAUCCACAGAACAGAAUGCUUUGGAUUCUUUGCCCUGAUUCUUUUUCUUCAUGUUUUUCUGCUAUCUUGAGCUGCAGAAAUGUUUGAACCAUUUCAGGUCAAGGACAGCUUCAGUCAUUCUUCUUCGAACUCAUGGAGCCUGCUUGGUUAAAGACAGCUGAGGUUUCACAUGGUGCCUGUGUACCCCUGAAGGCAGUGGCUGCCCCACAUUUUCUCAGGAGGAUGUGGUGCAGGGCAAGGUGAGCUGCUGCUGCUGCAAGAUGCAGCUCUAGCUCAAAGCAUGCGGUCUUGCCUACACAGAACAAGUUAGUUUGUGCUUCAGGGCUGUGAAGUGACUUGUGUUGGUGACUACACUUCAGUUUUACAUUGACUAGAGAGGUAAAAUAUUGAUAAUUUAUGGGAGCUUACUGGUAAAAGUAUUGAUACUGCUUAGUGUGCUAACAGUCCUGCAGCUUCAUUGUGCACUAUGGAAUUACAAUGGCUGUACUAACUAAAAGCUCUGUGUGCGCCCUUUCUAAAUAUACCACUGCCAGGAGAAUACAUGUGGGAAGAACUCAUGCAUGUGAGAAGGCUGUUGGCUAUGCAGCUGCCUUCUCUCUUCUCCCCUUUCCCUCUGGCAGAGAACAUUUCCUUCUUCACACUGUGCUCAAUCCUUCCAGCAGCCCCCAAAACUGCUGCAAGUAUUUUGUGGAGUUCCAUGAGGGAGAGCUUGAGUGGAAGGGAGCCAGGGAUUUCUGAUCCCCGAAUUGUAGCUAAGAUGCUGCUCAUCUGAAAUUGGUUCAAGUGUGGGGAAAGUUAUUAUGUCGCAAACACUUCACCUGAGAGCUGUGGACACACAACUUCUUUUGGUACAGUCUUCUAUCUAGAAGGGGAUCACUUCUGACAGCAGUUUGGGAGCAAAAAUGCUGUGCUCCAUGCUGCAGAAAACCCAGCCCCAUGCUCAGAGAGCCCGUGUGUUUGCACUUACUUUCUCUCCAGGGAGUGAACCUGCAGCUGAGGCUCCAGUCGGAGCGGACAUCAGUGGAAGCGGCUUGCACCCUGCUGUAGUAAGCCUCAUAGGCAUCAGAAGUCUCCUCUGUCAGGUCGCAGAAAUGGCUCUGAAUCCCCCAGCACUCUUCUUUGUUUUGCCACUUGCUCUGCCCAUACCUUUGGGGAAAGGAGGAGCAAUGCGAGCCCUAGCUAUCAUCAAACAGAUUUGUGCAGACUUGUAACAGUCUAUUCCCCAAAGGAACCAAAGGCUUUCAUGCUGUGAGGUGCUGGACUGGACCAGGCCUCCCUUGUGGAGCAGGCUCCCUCUGAGGAACAGGUAGCAGCACUGCACCCUGUGGCACAGUGGCCACCGAACCCCUGACUGUGCUCCUGCAAGAUGCCUGGCCUGCCAGACCUGCCUGGGGCAGGCUGAUGGUCUCAGAGGCCCCCCACACAAACUGCAUGUAUGUGCCAUGCUGAGGUGCCAUGAGGGUGUGUGUCACGUUGCUAGACGUGCUUGACCUCCAAUGUCCUUCAGGCUGCUCAGCUGCACUUUACGGGCUUGUGAUAAGUGCAGGGAGCUGGCAGCCGUGAAGGACAUGGCUGUGCCCCAGGUAUCCUUUGGCACCUGAGAGAUCCCUUUGGCUUGCCAAGCAGGGAUAGGCUGCUGCUGGAUGAGGCAUGCUGGAGUUCCCCCGGCACUUACACUUUAUACUGCACAAAGUAGAGCGUGGUUUCUCCCUCUCCAGCCCUUCCAGGCAACCAGCGCAGGGUAUUGUUGAAAUUCAGUGAGUAAAACCGUACCCCCCGUGGCUUGAUUGCAUCUUGCAGGUCUCGAUUUUCCAGGACUGGAAUGGCUGCAAAUAGUAAGGAACAGUGACAGCACACAUUUCUCUCAGGCAGGCACCUCUGCAUCCAGGCACACGCUGCUCGGGUGGUUCUAGGCUGGCAGCUGGUAGGGAAGUUCAAUCUGGGUUUCAUGUUCCAAACUUUCCACGUUGCAGUGAGCAGAUGUAGAAAUUACAGACCACAGCCAGGAUUGUGAAAGGAACAAAUCCUGGUGGUUUUUUUUUUUUUUUUUCUUUUUUUUCUUUCAUAAUUGAAUUUACUGCCAUUAAAGAUGCCCAGUGGACACCCCAGCAGACAAACCCUUCCGAUCGGCUCCUAAAGCAUGCAGUACACAGCUGCACCAGUAGUUAAAGGUAGGUGCUUAGGUGCUCUGUCCUUCCUAUCUCAGAUUUAGCCUGCAGGAACUACAUUUUAACAAUGGUGUAUAGUGUACGGUAUCUAUGUUUUAAUAGUUACCACGUCUGUGUUUGUUUUUUCUUGCCUAAUAAAAUAGUAUAACAUUCACUGUUUUUCUCAUCUGAACUGAUGGAAAAAGCUGUCUGGCAGCUUUCAAGAUAAGCUGUUUCCAAAGUGAAACAGAUACAGGUGACAAAAUCAGUUAACACUCCUGAAGCAUCCAAAUCCUAACAGGUUUCUGGAUUUCAUGACCCACCUAACUUACUGUGCCCACAGUUUUAUCUGCAGUAUAUCUCAAAACCAGAGACUCAGACACACAGAAUUGAACUGAAGCUGGUAACAGAACUGUAAGUAAAUGUGAUGAACAUCACACUCCUUUCAGCUGCAUUUUGAAAGACAAAAUGAGACUAAUUUGGAAAUGACAGGACUUCUGAAACCAGCCUCUGUAUCCAGAGAUUUCCUGACUUGCCCAGCUUUGUGAACAGACCCAGCCCUCCUCCCCAGGUAGGAAGAAAAUUGAAAGCCUUUACUUACUGCUUAUCUUGUCCUGCAGCAGGUGCAUCAGAAAGCAGAGAGAGGAAAGCCUGAUCCCCCUCAUGCUUAGGAGAGCAGCUCCAUGACUGAGAGCAUCUCUUUUCCUCUUGGGCAUGU